rnacentral:rRNA from 1 species
GAUGAACGCUGGCGGCGUGCCUAAUACAUGCAAGUAGAACGCUGAAGGAGGAGCUUGCUCUUCUGGAUGAGUUGCGAACGGGUGAGUAACGCGUAGGUAACCUGCCUGGUAGCGGGGGAUAACUAUUGGAAACGAUAGCUAAUACCGCAUGACAACAGUUAUUGCAUGAUAACUGUUUAAAAGGGGCAACUGCUCCACUACCAGAUGGACCUGCGUUGUAUUAGCUAGUUGGUGAGGUAACGGCUCACCAAGGCGACGAUACAUAGCCGACCUGAGAGGGUGAUCGGCCACACUGGGACUGAGACACGGCCCAGACUCCUACGGGAGGCAGCAGUAGGGAAUCUUCGGCAAUGGACGGAAGGCUGACCGAGCAACGCCGCGUGAGUGAAGAAGGUUUUCGGAUCGUAAAGCUCUGUUGUAAGAGAAGAACGAGUGUGAGAGUGGAAAGUUCACACUGUGACGGUAUCUGACCAGAAAGGGACGGCUAACUACGUG